CCUAGUAAGCACAAGUCAUCAGCUUGUGCUGAUUACGUCCCUGCCCUUUGUACGCACCGCCCGUCGCUACUACCGAUUGAAUGGCUUAGUGAGGCCCUCGGAUCGUUGGUGAAAAACUGUAAAAGGUUCUUCUUCGAUGAGAAGUUGGUCAAACUUGGUCAUUUAGAGGAAGUAAAAGUCGUAACAAGGUUUCCGUAGGUGAACCUGCGGAAGGAUCAUUA
rnacentral:rRNA from 1 species